CUUUUGGUUAGUAAUCAAAUAAGAAAAACAAUAACAUACAAUAAAAGCAUGCUUGGUGAUCUCAAAUCACUCAAACAAGUCCCAACCCAAGGAUUAAGGAGCCAAACAUGCUAUGAUCCUUGAGGCAAUGCACUUAUGCAAUAACAUGAUGCCAUGAGGGAUCUUAGGAUCAAAGUUAGGGUCUUACAUUUAUAUAAUUGGAAGGAUUACACUGAGUAAAAUUUCAAAAACCAAAUGAAAAUACAAGAGAGAAUGAGACUAGUCAUCUUAAGGAUCCCUAACAACAAUGUCAAAAGAUCUGGCUGCAGGCGCGUAGUUCCUUCGAAUGUGUCCAAUCUCAGUCUCAAAAGAAGCCUUCAUCUGAGUCUUCUCGAGGACAAGCUGAUCAACAAUCUUCUUCCAAGCAACGAAAGGCUGAGGUCAAUAAGUGCAUCUUUGUCCUUAGACUCAAGCCGCAACUCCUCAUGCUUUCUUCUCAAAGAAUGGAAAUGCUCUUCCCACAUAUCCUUUUCUUGUUUCAUCUUGACGAGUGUGUCUUCCAACUCCUCUAUGAUGAAUAUUGUAGGAGAUAGGGUCUAGGGAGACCCAAUUUUGAUCAGAUGAAUUCAUAUGGCCAACCACCAUCAACCAACUUGUUAACUUACAAUUAUCUUGACUUUUUAGACUCAUGGUAAAUCAUAUAUGAAUAAGAUGAUGAGAUUUGAAGUGUCCCUUGAAGUAUUUGAUCAAUUGGUGAAGAAGCUUGUUGAAGAAGUUACUCAAGAUAUCCAGAUGAACUAGGGUUUCCAAUGCAAACCAACUCCAAACUCUUGAAGAAAUCUUGAUCAAAAUAACAUGUAGAGAUAAUUGGGACUCAUAUAUGAUGCUUAGAGCCAUUUUGGAUCAUCCCUUGGUUGAGCUCUUAGCAAUGAGGGUCUUAAACCCUAGAUGUGAAUUUGAUAAAUCAAAGGUGAUCAUGUGUCCUACCUACAAAAGAGUUAGACAAAUGCAAAGACAUAUAUUUUUUUUUUGUAUUUUGGUUAGUAAAAUGAUAAUGUACAAGUAUGAUACGAUCACAUGGUGCUUGGUGAUCUUUCCCAAAACAAACCCAAUGAAUAAGGGGUUAGGAGGAUGCCAUGGUAUGAUCCCAAUGUCAAUGCAUAUAAUGAGAUUGCACGAGGGAUCUUAGGGUCAAAAUUGAGGUCUUACAUCGGAAAAGUGAGAAUAGAAUAUAAAAGGAUUAGAUAUAAAAAAAAUAAAAUGGUAAAAAAUAAUAAAAAUAAAUAGUAAGUGAGUUGCACAAGGAUCAAACCUGCAACCUAGAAAAAGCAUCAAAUGCUUCUACCGCUAGGCCAUGGAUAAUUAAUUGUUAAUGUAACGCCGAGCAAUAAUAUAUAAUAGAUAAAAUGACGCUGAUGUAAUAUAAAAAUAAAAUCCAAGUAAAGCAGUAGUAGUAUGCUUUUUGAAUCUAUCUUCUUCCUCAUAUAUCUAAUAUUACAAACUCAAACUAUAGUACUAAAUACUAGUAAUAAAACACUAUAAUAGUAAGCAUAUUACCAAUUUAACAUUAUAUUAUUAGAUACUAGUACUAAAACAUUAUACCAGUAAGUAUCUUCCAAACUUAAUAUUAUAAUGAGAUUAAUUACUAUACACUGUCGGUGUAAAAAAUUUUACACCGUCGAUUCAUCACCAUCAUCCGUUUGUAUUAUUUUAUAGAUUUUUAAAAUAAAAGUCAAACUUCUUUUAAUAUCCGACGACUAUGAUUAGCUGAUGGUGUAAAAUCUCUUUACACUGUCAGUGUAUUCCAAUUAAACUCUAUUAUAAUAUUAGAAACAAAAAAUUAUAUUAUACUUCUUAUUUGAUGACAGUAGCUCCACAAAUAAACAAAAGUUCUGAAAAACAAAAUUCCAUCACUUGAAUACAAGUAGUAACCUAAUAAGAGAACUACAGUUCAUACGAGAAUUUGACCAAGGCAAUAAUUAUACUCAAAAUUUGAUUCACACGUCUCUCAACAGAGUAACGACGUGGAAAUAAAAGAAACGCAAGGUCAAAUAUCGAUACAUCUCAGACAAAAUGCAAAAAAAAAAAAGAUAUAUUUGUAAAUGCAUUUAGUUGAAAAAUCUCCACAUGAUUCCAAGCAUAAACUGAGUCCAAAGCUAACAGCUCAAUAACCAUACGAAUAAACACACGCAUGAAAAAAAGAGAAGUUCACAUACAAAUCAAGACAUGGAAUACACGAGAAAACAUUAACCUUAC
rnacentral:lncRNA from 1 species